UACGGAGGGUGCGAGCGUUGUCCGGAAUCACUGGGCGUAAAGGGCGCGUAGGCGGCUUGGGAAGUCCGUGGUGAAAGCUCGUGGCUCAACUGCGAGUCGGCCAUGGAUACUCCUAAGCUCGAGUCGACUAGAGGCAGAUGGAAUUCCGGGUGUAGCGGUGGAAUGCGUAGAGAUCCGGAAGAACACCGGUGGCGAAGGCGGCUCUCUGGGACGGUACUGACGCUGAGACGCGAAAGCGUGGGGAGCGAACAGGAUUGAGAA
rnacentral:rRNA from 1 species